CGUGAGGACUGAGGAGUCAUGCCUGCAACCAAGGAAAGCCCUUGCAGCUCUGACACAGAAGAGCGGCACCGAGCCUUGGUCUGUUCCUGCCCUUUUUCCCACUCCAGUUCCAGGCUGGGUGUUGGAGGCUGGAGUCCCAUGUGCUAUCACACUGGAAACACUGUGUCCUCUGAGCACCACCUCACAAAGCCGCCUGCUGCUGACCAUUACUCCCAUUCCUGAUGAAGUGAAAGGAUGCAGGGAUGAAGUCACUCUUACUCAGCCUUGUGAUCUCAUUUCAGUGAGCAUUCAGGACUGUUUGCUCGAAGCCUUACUGGUGCUGAACGGGAUUGCGCAAUUCAGGCUUCAGGAGCUGCCGUGUGGGUGUGUGCGUACUCUCUGCACAGGAAGGAGCACAGAGAGUUCCUUGUAGUAGCCUUUGUUUCAAGGCUCUGGAGAACAUCUUAAAAGCCUGUCCCUCUCCUAUGUCAUCUGUAACUUCCUUUGCACUGGAACACACGCACUGAGUGGGAGAGGUAAUGACAGUGGAGAGAAAGUACUCACAAUAUAAACAUACUUUCACCUUGCGCAGAUAGCAGAAGGGAGCCCAACAAAUGGCCCUGCCAGGAAAGGAAUCUCCUUCCAACUUGGUGUGUCUGCUAGGGGAAGACUGGGAACACUGUGUUUUCUGCAGGGCCAUCUGAUGCUGUCUGCGAUGCUGCACUUGUUUACUGCAGCGUGUUGUGGCUCUGGGAAUUGCAGCACAGAAAUGUCCAAAAGGUUUUAUACUUGGCUUAUUUCUCAGAAAGCUGUGACUUGGAAAACUCAGGCCGGCCUAACUUUUCUUCCAAGUAUUCAAACAAUAUGCUUGGUAAUGUCAUUCUGCAGACAGUUUUGAUUUCUGAUUUUUCCAAUUAAUUUUGGGAGAAAACAGAGGUCCUGGAAUUUCCCACAAAGCAGAAUUUCUGUUGUUCCACCAGCUUGACUCAGCAAGAAUUUCUCCCACAGGAAUUUGGCCGUAAGUACUGAUACCAGCUAGGCAGUUUGAAUCUCUCUAGAUGGUGAAAGCUAGAGAAAAGUAUCUCAUAAAUCAUCAUGUCAUUGCUGUUUCAUACUCAAGAGGGGAGAAGAUCAUCUCACCUUCCUUUCUGUUCUCCUAUGCAUGUUUCCUGGGAACAACCUAAGCAGCUGUUGUAUUUCUGCAAAUCCUCACUUGCUGCAGCCUGGGACCUUGCUGCUCUACUGUCAUUGCUGUGCUAUCCAUCGCAUUACAAGCUCCCACUCUCAAAAUUGUAUUGAAAAAAAAAUCAGCCAGUUAAUGUCUAGACCUCAUCUUCACUGGAAAACAAAAAUCCUGGGGUUUCUCCUGGCACUUCUAGCAGAGAUUUGCUGAAACCAAGCGCAACUCUUGAACAGCGGAAGUCUGUGGCCUAGGGGUGGCAGGAGGUCAGACGAGAUGUUCUGGCUGGCCCUCGAUGGCAUGAAGAGACUGCAAACCUCAGAUAAAACUAUGUUACCCUGAGUCAAGUUCAAAGUCUAUGAAUCAAGAAUUCAAGCCUGAGCCUAAGUCAGUGGAUAGGAACAAAUUUGUGGUAUUUGAUGACAAUGCAAGAUGUUACUAGGAAGUUUCCCCGCGAAUGCAUAGCAAAAGCCAAACAACUGACUGUGUUCGUGGCCAAAACAUUUAUUUUCUUUAUGGAGUGAAAACAGAACCUGAAGUGCAGUAAGCAGCUUCUGAAUGUGCCUUCAUCUCUGGGCCAGUGCAGGAGGUCUGACACUUUUAAAAGCCUUCUGGAAACUUGGACUUUGAUUGCUGCUGCCAGAAUAGCUGCUGCCUCUUCUGUGGUUCCAUCAGGGAUGUACCUCCUGAAUGUGUGCUUGGGCCUGAGCCUGCACUCAUGACCAACCUUGUCUGGUGCUCAUCUGGUUUUCCUCCUACAGUGAUGUGGUUUCAUUGAUUCAGGGCAUGCUGCGUGUGGCCACGCGUGUGCUGACCUGCAACUGCUCUGCACCUGGGAGUGGGGAUGGGAGCACAGGGAUAGAGCAAGGCUUGGGCUUUGCAGGGCUUCAGGUCACUUCUUGGUCAGGUUUUCCUACAGCACUGUGUGGAUGCAGCCACGUAAAAUCUGAUGUGCUUCAGGAAUUAACAAAUACAUUUUUAAUGAUGUAAGAUUGCAGUGCCUGAAAACAGCAUGGCGUAGUGCCUGAAAAUAAUAAAUUUUAAAGCAACAAAUCUAGUUCUGUUCUUGCUUACAAGAUGAUAAGGAAAAUGUGAUUUUUUUUUUUUUUCUUUUCCAGAAUGGCUUCUAUAAAAUGAUGUAUCUCAUCUUCUUUCAAACUCUCAGGGAAAUACUAAAAUGAC
ensembl:lncRNA